GACCUUGUGGCGCAAUGGUAGCGCAUCUGACUCCAGAUCAGAAGGUUGCGUGUUCAAAUCACGUCAGGGUCA
rnacentral:tRNA from 2 species